rnacentral:ncRNA from 2 species
UACUCAAUGGGUGACUGCAAUGCUGGAGCAAAGAGAGGAACAGAAGGAGGGUUACCGCAGAGACAGGGCUUCACUGAAGAUGAUGAUUUGCUCAAAGAGGAAGACGCGCCUCUCUCGACCUCGGGAAGACAGCAGCCCUCCAGCCUCAGGCUCGGUGACCCAGAAAGUGUCCUGGCCCAAGAGCUUCCCCUGAGCAGUCAGUUUGCCCUGAAACCAAAAGGAUAGUG